rnacentral:rRNA from 1 species
UACGAAGGGGGCUAGCGUUGCUCGGAAUCACUGGGCGUAAAGGGUGCGUAGGCGGGUUCUUAAGUCAGAGGUGAAAUCCUGGAGCUCAACUCCAGAACUGCCUUUGAUACUGAGAGUCUUGAGUUCGGGAGAGGUGAGUGGAACUGCGAGUGUAGAGGUGAAAUUCGUAGAUAUCGGGAGGAACACCAGUGGCGAAGGCGGCGAUCUGGGUCGAUACUGACGCUGAGGUGCGAAAGCGUGGGGAGCAAACAGG